rnacentral:rRNA from 1 species
AUACGUAGGGGGCGAGCGUUGUCCGGAAUGAUUGGGCGUAAAGGGCGCGUAGGCGGCUUUGCAAGUCAGUAGUGGAAGUCCAUUUUUCAAGGAUGGAAGUGCUACAGAAACUGCGGAGCUUGAGUGCAGGAGAGGUUAUCGGAAUUCCCGGUGUAGCGGUGAAAUGCGUAGAGAUCGGGAGGAACACCAGUGGCGAAGGCGACUUCCGGGCACAAUACUGGCGCUCAUGUGCGAAGGCUAGGGUAGCGAACGGGAUUAGAUACCCCGGUAGUCCUAGCCGUAAACGAUGGAUACUAGGUGUGGGUGUCGCAGGGCAUCCGUGCCGCAGCUAACGCGUUAAGUAUCCCGCCUGGGGACUACGGUCGCAAGACUGAAACUCAAAGGAAUUGACGGGG